rnacentral:rRNA from 1 species
CCGGGAUGACUGAGUGGCGGACGGGUGAGUAACGCGUGGGUAACCUGCCCUGUACAGGGGGACAACAGUUAGAAAUGACUGCUAAUACCGCAUAAGCGCACAGGACCGCAUGGUCCGGUGUGAAAAACUCCGGUGGUACAGGAUGGACCCGCGUCUGAUUAGGUAGUUGGCGGGGUAACGGCCCACCAAGCCGACGAUCAGUAGCCGGCCUGAGAGGGUGGACGGCCACAUUGGGACUGAGACACGGCCCAAACUCCUACGGGAGGCAGCAG